rnacentral:tRNA from 1 species
GGUUUGUGGCUCAGUGGUAGAGCACUUGCCUAACAUGUUUGAGGCCCUGGGUUCGAUCCUCAGCACCA